UUGAAAGCAGCAUGAAUGUAUAGGGCACGGAAGUGUUAAAUCAAAUCGCCUUUUAAACAUUCCCUAGAAGAACCAGAAAGAUAACGCCGAGGAAACAUGUAUCUCUUUACACUAGUUUCGCAAAGGACUCAGAGCUUUUAGACCAGGGUCGCUUUAGUCCCCCAUCACGCUUUAUUUUGCUGGAGAUGCGUCGACGCUAAUAUCAAGUCUAAGGCACUAGCUUUCCGUAAAACCACAACACGUGGAUAUUCACGUUUACGAACCGGCUUUAAAAAAAACUCCUUAGAGCCACAGGCGUUAACGUGAAAUUUAGAAUAUGGACUGCAUGCCAGAUGACAACUCCCGGUACAAAGAUGUUGACUACUGGGAUGAAAGAUACAAGACAGAGCAGUGUUAUGACUGGUUGGGCAGCUUCUCCAGAUUCCAGCACCUUCUGGAAGAACACGUCAAGAAGGAAGAUGCCAUUCUGAUACUUGGUGGAUUGGUGGUCAAAUUGCAACACUCCCGGUUCAAGUCUGCUUUCCUCCCUCUCCCUCAUUACCUGUCAUCCUUCUACCUUCUGCUGUCAAGUAAAGGGGAAAAUGCCUGUCACCAUUUGUCACUGUGAGUGUCACAUACCAUCAUCAUGGUUGUCAGUGCUGUCAUUAGCAUCGCUUGUAUCGCUGUUGAAUCCU